rfam:Echinostoma caproni strain Egypt genome assembly, scaffold: ECPE_scaffold0005215
GCACGGCUGACGAGUCCGGAACAGGACGAAACAGCUGUCCAGUGA